rnacentral:rRNA from 1 species
CACGUAGGGGGCGAGCGUUGUCCGGAUUUAUUGGGCGUAAAGAGCUCGUAGGCGGUUUCGUAAGUCGGAUGUGAAAACUCCAGGCUCAACUUGCAGACGCCAUUCGAUACUGCGAUGACUUGAGUCCGGUAGGGGAGUGUGGAAUUCCUGGUGUAGCGGUGAAAUGCGCAGAUAUCAGGAGGAACACCGGCGGCGAAGGCGGCACUCUGGGCCGGUACUGACGCUGAGGAGCGAAAGCGUGGGUAGCAAACAGG